UCCUGUCUGCCUUGCCUUUCAGAUGAACAGCCUAUCUUUAACAGGAGUCAGUCAUCAGCUUCCAGAUUAGGAAGGAAAAAGAAAGGGAUCAUACCUGUCAAAGGCAAAAGAGUUCCUUAGAAUCUGCAAGUAUGUCAGAUGCAGUGACUCCAGGGGUUAUUUUCUCCCUCCUCAAAAUAGUGCAAACUCUUCCUCAGAACCAUCUGCACCACUACUGAGAUUUGAAAACCAGAACACACAAAAAAGACCAUUGCUUAAUGGAUAAUGAAUAAGGGCACUCUCAAACCCACGGCAAGCAAACUGUCCAAGCAGCUAGAGCACAUAUUUGUUAGUCUCACUCCCAAGUGACAGAUACAAAUGCCACAGAAACUCAGAGCAUUUCUCUGAAGAAAAUCAGCUGAUGUCUCGCAAAUCUAGUGUGAUAUUUCUCCUCUAAAACCUUGCCUGGACUCUAAUGACAAACAAAUAGAAUGAAUGAAGCAGUGACCAAACACCAGAACAAAUAAAUACCAGUGAAUUUUCAAAUGGAAUAAUGAACUCAAGCCUCGUAUCUGCUCAUGUAGACAAAAGUGAUGAUGUUCCACUCAUUCGGAGUGACCUCACGGUUGCUGGAGAUACCCUUUUGCAGUGCUGACAGUUUGAAUGUGUACCAGAGUACACUGACACUAAAAGAAAAUGCUUGGAUCUCUGUAGAAGACAGAAGACAUAGUGUUUGUAGGAGCAAAGGAAAAAUACCAACACUUACAAGUAGUCACUGCAAAACAUAUUCAGACUGGUGAUCUGUGCACAUCAUUGUGACAGCAGCAAUAAAUCAGAAGCUCUGCAGCUGUUUCGAGGGAAGGUUUCCUGUGAACCUAAAGCCAAAGAUUAAGGUUCCAAACUGAGAGGAGCAGCUUCCUGUCAAAUAAGCCAAUGCUACUGGAUGAAUUGACCUUGACAUGACUGCUGUGAUGCCAAAAGCCACAAGCUAACUGGUAACAAUUGUUAGCAGGUAAAAGAUCCUGAUAAAGCUGGGCGCUCCACGUGUUAGACAGCAUCUUAUGAGUCAGCCUUCUCCGCCACUAUAACUUCUGAUGACCUCAACUCCCAUUGAACACCUGGAUCCAGGCUGGUUUUGGGAGAAAGUGUGGCUGUAGGCAACUCUGGCAGGUGAUGUGUUUAUUGGAUGGUGAUCAGAGAGAAAGGAUGAUAAACCAGCCAUGGUUGAGUGUUGGGGCUGGCCAGACCUUGGAGCUGGGGCUCGGUGGUCUGUGGGGUGGACCACCUGCCAUCCGCGCUGACCCACGGGCCGUGGGGUGACGUUCAGGUGGGUGCCAUCC